AACAGGAUAUUUUAGCAUAAAUGCGAUGAUAAUUUGUGACAACGAUAUGCAAAUACGUGCCGUUGAUGCGCGGUUCCCGGUUCCAGUCAUGAUGCUUUCAUCUGGGGUAUGAGUCACGCUAAACAAUAUUUCCGUACACAGUAUGAGAGUGGGCAGCGUUCAUUGAGGUUGCUGGGUGAUUGUGGCUACGGAAUUGAACCAUUUCUGUUAACUCCUUACAGAGAUCCACAGUUUAACUCAAAGGAGUAUAAGUUUAACAUAGCACACACGGCUGCACGGAAUAUUGUGGAAAGGACUAUCGGAGUUUUAAAGAGCCGUUUCCGCUGUUUAAUGUCCACAUUACAUUAUCGCCCU